rnacentral:rRNA from 2 species
UCGACAAUUUUACAUUGAAAAAAUUAGAGUGCUCAAAGCAUGCGUGACGCAUGAAUAAUGGUGCAUGGAAUAAUGGAAUAGGACCUCGGUUCUAUUUUGUUGGUUUUCGGAACACGAGGUAAUGAUUAAGAGGGACAGACGGGGGCAUUCGUAUUGCGACGCUAGAGGUGAAAUUCUUGGACCGUCGCAAGACGAACUACUGCGAAAGCAUUUGCCAAGAAUGUUUCCAUUAAUCAAGAACGAAAGUUAGAGGUUCGAAGGCGAUCAGAUACCGCCCUAGUUCUAACCAUAAACGAUGCCAGCCAGCGAUCCGGCUGUGUUCCUCAAAUGACACGCCGGGCAGCUUCCGGGAAACCAAAGCUUUUGGGUUCCGGGGGAAGUAUGGUUGCAAAGCUGAAACUUAAAGGAAUUGACGGAAGGGCACUACCAGGAAUGGAGCCUGCGGCUUAAUUUGACUCAACACGGGGAAGCUUACCUGGAUAGGACACAGGAAGGAUUGACAGAUUAAGAGCUCUUUCUUGAUUCUGUGGAAGGUGGUGCAUGGCCAUUCUUAGUUGGUGGAGCGAUUUGUCUGGUUAAUUCCGAUAACGAUCGAGACUCUAGCCUACUAAAUAGACGUUCCGAUCCUUGCUGUCGGACGCUCUUCUUAGAGGGACACGCGGCGUUUAGCCGCACGAGACAGAGCAAUAGUAGGUCUGUGAUGCCCUUAGAUGUCCAGGGCCGCACGCGCGCUACAAUGAAGGAAUCAGCGUGUGCUUUCCCUGUCCGACAGGACUGGGUAACCCGUUGAACCUCCUUCGUGCUUGGGAUAGGCGCUUGUAAUUAUUCGCCUUGAACGAGGAAUUCCCAGUAAGCGCGAGUCAUCAGCUCGUGU